rnacentral:rRNA from 1 species
GGAUGCGAUCAUACCAGCACUAAAACGCCGGAUCCCAUCAGAACUCCGAAGUUAAGCGUGCUUGGGCGAGAGUAGUACUAGGAUGGGUGACCUCCUGGGAAGUCCUCGUGUUGCAUUCC